AUAGCCAAUUAUGCUUGGAGGAUCAUCAAAAGUUUGGAGACAUUAUAGGUCAUUUGUGGACUUGGUGAAAUUUGACCUAUUUUCAAGUGACUUUUUCUCAACUUUCAAGGAUUAUAAUUUCUUCAAUUUUCAACAUUUGAGGCUGAUUCUUUUUUCACAAUGUCAUUUGAGAUGCCCUCUACAAGUUUUCCUCAAGGACCAAGGUCAAAAUAUGCUUGGAAGACCAUGGAAUUCAUUGAGACAUUAUA
rnacentral:lncRNA from 1 species